AUGCACCACGCGUACACUCCGGUUCCUCCGAGACGUCCGCACCUCACCUGACGACUACUCGCUCCGUGCUGCUGGCC
rnacentral:sRNA from 1 species